GCACCCGCAGGCGCCUGUGUAGCAAUAAAUCACCUCUUGCGUUUGCAGCCAGUGCCUCGUGCGUCUUUCUUGGACAGGGAAUCGGCGGGUCUUUCAUUUGGCGAGCCAGCCAGGAGAACUCCUGUAACCCCAUCCGGAUCCCUGCCCGAGGAACACCCGAUAACCACUGGGAGGUAAGCUGGCCAGUUCGUGUCAUUUUGUGUCUCUCUAUGUCUGGUUGUUAUCUUGUUAUCUGUUCAUGCGCAGCGUCUGUACGAUUACGCGUAAUCGCUCUGUAUUCUGGGCAGCUUGAGAAGGAGUUGACGAACUCGGACUUCUCCCCUGCCACCCUGGGAGACGUCCCAGGGGCUCAGGGAGGCCCAUCUUGGGGGGGCCUCCAAUGUUCUGUAGAGUACACUGUACUCGUGGGUGACGGAGGUGACGGUAUCCCUCCUCUCCCUAAUCCAUCAGGUACGUUUGGUUUGUGCUCGAGCUGCGCAGCGUUCUCUGUGUCUAGUUUGAUAUUUGUGUCUGUCUUCUUGCCUUUGCACUUUCUCACUCCAUCUAAGACUAACAUGGGACAAUCUAUAACAACUCCUCUGAGUCUUACUCUGGAUCACUGGCAGGACGUUCGGAACCGGGCCGACAACCUGUCAGUAGAGGUCAAAAAGAAAAAAUGGAUAACACUCUGCACCACAGAAUGGCCAUCAUAUGACAUCGGUUGGCCUAAAGAAGGGACAUUUAAUCUUAAUUAUAUCUUGCAGGUGAAGUCCCGAGUUUUCAUUCAGGGACCACAGGGGCAUCCUGAUCAAGUGCCCUACAUCGUUACUUGGGAAAAUUUGGCUUCUGACCCACCUUCUUGGGUUGCCCCUUUUUCUCACUCUAAGCUUCCUCCCUGCUCCCUCUCCGGUGGCUCCGCGCCUCCAACGCUGCCGCCUGAAACUCCUCCCCUACCUUCCGCCCCACUUAUCCCAGUCCCUACAUCCCCUCCCAAAACCUCUAGGCUUUACCCCGUUCUUGACAAAUCUGAAAAAUCAGCCCCAACAGGGACAAAACAAAAAAAGGUUUUGCCCCCCGAAGAUGCAGUUCUUAUAGAUUUGAUGACUGGAGAACACCCACCCUAUCGUCCCCAACCUCUACCUGCCCCCGAUCUUAACCAGGCAUCCUCAGGGGAAGAAAACGAGGGAGAUCAAGAAGAUUCGGCUCCCCGUAAUCCUCCAGAGCCUUCCCCUAUGGUGGGACGACUCCGCGGGCGCCAAAAACCUCAUGCCUUGGGGAAUACAUCUAGUGCCUUCCCCUUACAGCAGACGGGAGGCCCAAAUGGCCAAUACCAGUACUGGCCCUUUUCUGCUUCUGAUCUUUAUAAUUGGAAAUCCCACAAUCCUUCUUUCUCUAGUGAUCCUGUAGCCCUAACCUCUCUAAUAGAAUCUAUUCUAGUGACUCACCAGCCAACCUGGGAUGACUGCCAGCAGCUUCUACAGACUCUUCUCACUUCUGAAGAGAAACAAAAAGUUCUCCUGGAAGCCCGUAAAAAUGUGCCAGGGGAUGACGGACGCCCCACUCAACUCCCAAAUUUGAUUAAUGAAGCUUUCCCCUUAACACGACCAGAAUGGGACUACAACACUGAUGCCGGUAGGAACCACUUACGUCUCUAUCACCAGUUACUCAUAGCGGGUCUCCAUGGAGCAGGGCGACGGCCCACUAAUUUGGCGCAGGUAAGACAGACUAUCCAGGGGUCAGAAGAAACUCCGACUGCAUUCUUAGAGAGAUUAAAGGAAGCCUAUCGGAGGUACACACCUUUUGACCCAGACAAUGAGGAUCAGAGAGGAAACGUUUCUAUGGCCUUUAUUUGGCAGUCCGCUCCAGAUAUCAGGACUAAGUUACAAAGAUUAGACAAUUUACAAGAUUAUUCUUUAGCAGACUUAUUAAGGGAAGCAGAAAAGAUCUUUAACAAGAGAGAGACUCCAGAGGAAAAAGAGGAAAGGAUUAGGAAAAUCCAGGAAGAGAGGGAUCUCAAAUUUAAGGAAGAACUAGACAAGAGAGAUCGAAAACGUGAUAAAGAAUUAACUAAGAUAUUGGCCACCGUAACACAGACAGGGCAACAAGGAAAGAGAACAGAUAGGGAAAGGGAACGAAAUAGGCCCCGUGUAGACCGAGACCAAUGUGCCUACUGCAAGGAAAAAGGACAUUGGAUAAAAGACUGCCCAAAUAAACCCCCCAACCCCAGGAGAAGUACAAACCGGGCCCCUCAAUUGUUAGCCCUGGAUGAAGAUUAGGGAAGUCAGGGCCAGGAGCUCCCCCCUGAGCCCCGGGUAACUCUACAAGUAGGGGGGCAACCUGUAACCUUCUUGGUGGAUACGGGAGCCCAACACUCAGUGCUGACACGGGCACCAGGACCUAUGAGCCACAAAACGACGUGGGUCCAAGGCGCCACCGGAAGCAAACCGUACCGAUGGACCACCAAAAGAGAAGUACAUCUUGCCACAGGUAAAGUUUCCCAUUCGUUUCUGCAUGUGCCUGAUUGUCCGUAUCCACUAUUAGGACGAGAUCUAUUAACCAAAUUAAGAGCCCAAAUUUAUUUUAAAGAUGGGAGUGCCUCCGUCACGGGGCCAAACCAGACCCCCUUACACAUAUUGACUUUCAAAUUAGAUGACGAAUAUAAACUUUUCGACAAGCCUUCGGUACCUAUGAAGGACAUGAACUAUUGGCUUGAUUCGUACCCGGAGGCUUGGGCUGAAACUGGAGGAAUGGGAAUGGCCAAACAGCAACCUCCGAUAGUUAUUCACUUAAGAACCACCGCUACUCCCAUAAAUAUUAAGCAAUAUCCUAUGUCAAGGGAAGCUCACCAGGGCAUCAAACCACAUAUCAAAUGCCUCCUAGACCAAGGCAUCCUAACUCCUUGCCGGUCGCCCUGGAACACCCCUCUGUUGCCAGUCAAAAAGCCAGGAACAAAUGACUACAGACCUGUCCAAGAUUUAAGAGAGGUAAACAAAAGAGUAGAAGAUAUUCACCCCACGGUGCCCAACCCUUACAAUCUCCUCAGCACCUUGCCUCCCACCCAUACUUGGUAUACUGUCCUGGACCUAAAAGAUGCCUUCUUCUGCCUAAGAUUGUCUCCCCAAAGCCAGGCUCUCUUUGCAUUUGAAUGGAAGGAUCCCGAGGAAGGAGUCUCUGGACAACUGACCUGGACAAGGCUGCCACAAGGAUUUAAAAACAGCCCGACGCUCUUCGAUGAGGCUUUACAUCAGGACCUGGCCGAUUUUCGUGUAAGACACCCCUCCUUAAUUAUGCUUCAAUAUGUAGAUGACAUCUUGUUGGCUGCUAUCUCCGAAGAGGACUGCCUGACAGGUACGAAGGCUUUAUUACAAACUCUGGGGCAGUUGGGGUACAGAGCGUCAGCUAAAAAGGCCCAGAUCUGUCAGACAACAGUUACUUAUCUUGGCUACGAACUUCAUGAUGGCCAACGGUGGUUAACAGCUGCCAGAAAAGAGACUAUUUCGAGCAUACCAGUCCCCCAGAGUCCUAAGCAGCUGCGGGAGUUCCUAGGGACCGCAGGUUUCUGUAGACUCUGGAUUCCUGGGUUUGCGGAGAUAGCAGCCCCCUUGUAUCCACUGACUAAACAGGGAAACGCCUUUAAUUGGACGGAAGAACAACAAUUGGCAUUUGAUCGCAUCAAAUUAGCCCUUUUAUCUGCCCCCGCCUUAGGCUUACCAGAUAUUACCAAGCCUUUUGACUUAUUUAUAGAUGAAAAGCAGGGCUAUGCAAAAGGAGUCUUAACCCAAAAACUGGGGCCCUGGAGGCGCCCCAUAGCCUACCUGUCAAAGAAACUGGAUCCAGUAGCAUCAGGAUGGCCCCCAUGUCUUCGGAUGAUAGCAGCUGUGGCUGUCCUAAUCAAGGACGCCACCAAACUGACUCUGGGGCAACCAUUAACUUUAUUAACUCCUCAUGCUAUCGAAACAAUAAUUCGCCAGCCGCCCGAUCGCUGGGUGUCAAACGCCCGACUCACCCAUUACCAGUCUUUGUUGUUGGACACUGACCGAAUUCAGUUCGGCCCCAUAGUCACUCUAAAUCCAGCGACCCUUCUACCGCUCCCGGGAGAAGCAAAUCCUCACAACUGCCAGCAGAUUCUCGCAGAGACACAGGGGACCCGGUCAGACCUCACAGACCAACCUAUGAAGGAUGCAGAGCUGGUCUGGUACACGGAUGGAAGCAGUUACCUACUCAAUGGAGAAUGGCAUGCGGGAGCAGCCAUUACCACCGAAUCUGAGGUAAUAUGGGUGAGUGCAUUGCCGGGCGGAACAUCGGCCCAGCGGGCAGAACUGAUAGCUCUGACCCAAGCCUUGAAGUUGGCAGACGGAAAAAAACUAAACGUGUAUACAGACAGCAGGUAUGCUUUUGCCACUGCUCAUAUACAUGGAGAGAUUUACAGGCGCCGGGGAUUACUGACCUCAGAAGGAAAAGAAAUCAAAAAUAAGACUGAAAUAUUAGCUUUGCUUAAAGCUUUAUUUCUACCUAAAAAGCUAAGUAUCAUGCAUUGCCCUGGCCAUCAGAAAGGAGAUACUCCGGAGGCGAAGGGAAACAGGUUAGCAGAUGAGACAGCCAAAAAGGCAGCCCAGGGGCCCCAACUCCUAGUGAUGACUCUAUUGCCCCAACAGGCAGACCCACGACACAAUGACUAUGAAGAACAGUGGGUCUACGAGGACAGAGAUUUAGAUAUCAUACAGAAGCUGGACGCCUCUUAUAACCAAGAGGACCAUACCUGGAAAUAUCAAGGAAAAACCAUAAUGCCCCUUAAAAAUGCUAAG
rnacentral:lncRNA from 1 species